ensembl:ncRNA mir-1013 mir-1013 stem loop
GUGAGUUUCGUACACUUAAUUAAUAGGAUCGGCCGUUAAUAAAAGUAUGCCGAACUCGCAG